rnacentral:rRNA from 1 species
UUUUAUGGAGAGUUUGAUCCUGGCUCAGGAUGAACGCUGGCGGCGUGCCUAAUACAUGCAAGUCGAGCGAACAGACGAGGAGCUUGCUCCUCUGACGUUAGCGGCGGACGGGUGAGUAACACGUGGAUAACCUACCUA